GCCCUAGUAGCUCAGAGCUAAAGAGCGCCGGUCUUGUAAUCCGGAAGUCGGAGGUUAAAUCCCCCCCUAGCGCU
rnacentral:tRNA from 1 species